rnacentral:lncRNA from 1 species
UUGCAACGGCUAUCAAAAUGCACGGCACAUGUUAUUUUAGCAGACAGUAUUAAAAUUUAUAUUGCAUUUUAAAACAGAAUAAUGUUUGCCCUAUCGGUCUUGCCUCGGGAAGACCGAUCGAGCAAACAUUCUAUUUUUGAAUAUCCACCAAGGAAUCGAGUCAACGUAUAAGAAAUAUUAAUCUCUCUACAAAUCACGAACAUUUACUAACUCUUGUUUAAAGGCAAUGUCACUUUUAUUUACUCUUAAAUUAUCUUUUAGAGUCAUAUGUUGAAAUUUAACCCAUGGUGAACUAUUUUUAACUCAAUUUUCAACGAUUUUUGUUUCAUUACUAUAUUUGAUAACAUGUAAAGUUUGUCUGAAAUCACCUGUCACUAUUACUAUUUUUCCUCAAAAAAGUUCAUCAUUUUUGUAAAUAUCACAAAAAACCCACCAACUGCAUUAAAAGCGCAUUUUGAAGUCAUAGAUAUUACGUCCCAAAUAAGAACUUUUGUUUUCUUAAGGAUAACCCCAUAUUCAGAAUGUAGUGUAAUAUUAUAACAUGUUUCUUCAGUUAUAUCUACUGGAAAUUUAAAUGCUAAAUGCGAUAUUUUACAAUAGAUUAAUAAAUUUGCCGCUAUGCCCAUCCAUGCAACUGGUAUAACUGAAAUAUUUAAUCGCUUAAAAUAUAAAAUUAAAGAAUUUAACAGAAGACUUUGUCCACUUCAUCCCGGCCCAUCGAUGAAGAAACAUUUAUUAUGAUUAUCACUUUUAUUAAUAUUUUCAAUACUCUCUUAAUAUUCUUAAUAGUAAUACAAAUUUUAAGUUAUUUUUUAGAUAAAAGAGUGACAUCAUGAGAUACAUACUUAUCUAUUAACUGUUCCGUAACAGGCAAAUCUUCAUUUUUCUUAUUUUCUUCGAUGUCCGAAUAAUGGAUAACAUAAGGUUAAUUAAAAUCAUUUGAAGUAUGACCAUUAUUUGUUAAAAUUUUAUUUAUAAUUAUUAAUGCAGAAUUCUCGCCAAUUUCUUCUGUUAAUGAUGGACGAUAAAAAUGAUUUUUAUACUUAUCAAAUAAUUCCCUAACAUUAAGUGGAUUAUAAAAUAUACAAAUGUAAGCAAAAAGAUUACAUAAAGCAUUUGGAACUUGGAAUUGUGUACUUUCAUGUAAACGUCCAUUCCAUUUCUAAUCAGUUUUUAUUAAUCCUCUAGCAACUGCUGCUUCCAUGAAAGACAAAUAUGUAAUUUUAUCAACUGUAUUUAUAUUUUCAAAAGAUUUAGCUCCUUUUACAUGUAAUAGUUGUAAUCUUGAAUGAAAUCUUUCUCGAUUUUUUGGAUUAACGGAAUACAUCUUCGCAAAAACUGGUUUAUAAAAUGUAUUUCUUGCAGUCCAUUCUUUCCUAAUUUCAUUAAAUACAUAAUUGUAUGGAAUAUCUGUGUGUCUUGCAUUUGGAUCAAUCUGAUUCAGUAUAAAUCACGCAGUCAAUGUUGUAUUUAAAUUUUUGUUAAUCAACUGAUCUUCACAUCUUUCUUUAAAAAAUACAUAUUGUUCAUUAAUAUAUUGCAUCUCUCCCUUCACCGCUCUCUCUCUCUCUCUCUCUCUCUCUCUCUCCCCUCCACCGCGCUCUCCUUACCGCAUCUUUCCAUUGGCUUUCGGCGCUCUCGGCGUUCUCUACACACUAUACUUCUCUACUACACGCUAUACUCUGGACAAUGCUAUCCCGCGUCCCCACGCGCUCGGCUUUCUCUACCUAGCAUAAACUGAAAUAAUGCUAUCCCGCGUCUAAGCGUCAGUUGUACGUAAACAUAUCUCGUUCUUAUUAUUAAAAGUGAAUACUUAUAUUUAAUUACUACUCGUGUACUAAUAAGAUUACAUUGAUUUUCAUAAUGGAAAGUGACAAAAACAGUAAUUUAAAUUCAAUGAGUGACAGUGAAAGUGAAACGCAACAAAAAUUUGCUCAUCCAGCUACUGAUAAUACUGAAGAUGAAAACGAGAAUCUGCAAGACAGGUAUGUUUUUAAAUGGUUUCAUUUUUGAAGUGUUUUUUCACAUAUUAAAUCAGAAAUAUACUUCUUACGUCUCUAACCUUAAAAACGGUACAAUAACACAUGCAACAGUAACACGUGCGUCUCCCCGCUCUGCCUCCUACUCAUUGCCUUUUAUUCGUAUAUCUAUCUCUUUCUUCCAACAAUAUACAUAUAAAAUGACUAUUAUAAGCUCCUAUGCUUAUUUCUAUGCUCCGUAUAGUCUAUACAUAUUAUAAUUUUAUAAUUAUAAAUUUAAUUACGCACUUUCAGCAUAAAAAAAAGAAAAAAAACAUUCUUACAACUACCGCUUUCAACAAAAAAUUGAAAACUACACCGAAAUCUAAUGCUGAACGCAGUAAAGAAUAUCGACAACGGAAAAAGGAUGCUACAUCAAGUACUGCCGAAAAACAAAUGAAUGCUGAACGCUCUAAGCAAUAUCGACAACGGCAAAAAGAUACUAGUACCACUGAAAGAUCUAAACGCAAUGCUGAACGCUGCAGAGAGUAUCGACAACGUAAAAUACGUGAAAGUCAAUCCAGCACUACCACCGAAAAUUCACAACGAGAUUUACAAGUUGAAACUGUAGCAUUAAUUCAUAAUGUACACACUCCAAAGGCUGAUGAUAAUCUGCCUGCAUAUUCGACAAAAUUAUGAUAAACAACACUUGCAACCACAAUUCGACGAAAUUUGCCAAAUAAAUACGCAAUAUAAUGAAAAUACUCAAAGGGAAUUGAAUUUACUGACGGAAGCACAUCAAUCAACUGGAUUGACUCAACAUGCAGAUCCAAUUAUAAUACCUUUGAAUGAUGAAUUGCAAGGUCAGCAACCUCAACAAUUAAAUAUCGUCAACGACAUAUCUUUUUAUCAUCAUAUUAUCAACUCGGAACCUACCUAUUCUAAAUAUCAUCGAAAUAAAAAACCACACGAGGAAUUUAAUAAAAAAUUCAAAAAUAAUGCGUUUGGUUAUCCAUGCUCAGUUUGCAACAGAUUAUGGUUCAAAGAAGAUUAAAAAAAAGCACAGGGAAAUCGUGAAGAAAUUUUGAAAACAAUAAUUACGGUAAAAUAUUAAAUUGCACAAAAUAUAAUAUACAAAAUAUUUAACGAAUUGUUAUAUAAUUAGAUAUAAUUUUUUUUUUUAAUUAUGAUACCUUGGCUAACAUAAGCACAUGCUCUACUUGCAAAACAGAUAUUGACAAAGGCAACAUACCAAUAAUGUCUGAAUAUAAUGGCUUUAAAUAUCCAGAACUUCCAUCGCAUUUGCCAAAGCUAGAUAUUGUAUCAGAAAGACUAAUUUCGCCACGAAUCCCCUUUAUGCAAAUUAGAAGGCUAAGACAUGUGCACGGUCAAUAUGGUAUCUACGGACAAAUUAUUAUUAACGUACCAUUUUCUGUAAAUACAAUGGUACAUCGAUUGCCACGCGAUAUCGACGAUGAACAUUGCAUUUACGUACAUAUAAAGCGGAAAAAAUACACAAAUCUAGUUACGUGCAAGGUUUAGUUAAUAAAAAAAAACAAUAAAGGCGUGGCUAGAAUAUUUAGUUAAGACAGAACUUUACGUUUAUUACAAUAUUACAAUUGAUGAACCGUUCUUUAAUGAUCAAGAAACAGAACCUGCUGAUAUUGACGAACUCUCAGAAAAUAUUCCAAUUGAAGAAAGUCUUAUUGCUCAGCAACAGACAUUGCUUUGGAACGAGGAUAAAUACUUAAGGAUUGCGCCUGGUGAAACAAAUCUUCUGAUAAGCUUGCUUUUCGACGAACAUGCUGAAGAACUGUCGUUUCCAGCGAUAUACCUUGGUAAAUUCAGAGCAUACCGAGAAAAUGUUAGAGUUACACCAUUUACGCAAGCUACGAGUGAAUUGAGACGGGCUGAUCGCAGAGGAGUUACGCAUCAGCAUGUUUUAUAUAUGGCAAUGAGAAUUAUGAGAUUACGAGUACGGGAUAGCUUACAAAUUGCAUUUAAGCACGUUGGUAACAAUACUAAUAUUGCUCUUGAUCAAAUUCUAUUAGAUUCAUACAUCCAUAAUUGCAUAGAAACAAAUUUUGCAUUCCUCAAGUGUAUAACAAACUCAACUUGGUAUUGGGCAGAUCGCAAAAGAGAUCUGUUUGCUAUUAUUCGACAGAAAGGAAGACCUACGGCAUUUAUGACUUUAAGCUCGAACGAAAUAGGAUGGACAGAUUUGUUAAAAUUAUUAUACAAAUUAAAACACAACUGAACUUAUAACAACAAUUAUAUUGAAAAAAGUGCUCUUAUUAAUGAAGAUUCUGUUACUUGUGCUAUCUACUUUAAUAAAUUAGUCAAUGUUAUAAUGACAAUCUUAAUGGCUAAAAAGUCAAGUCCAUUUGGGAAAUAUAGAGUGGUCGAUUACUUCAAGAGAAUAGAGUUUCAACAUCGUGGCAGUCCCCACGCUCAUAUUCUUUUAUGGUUAGAAAAUGCAACAGAAGACGUCUUUGAUAAAAUUUAUCAAGAAGCUAUACAUUUAAUCGACGAAUUGAUUUCUGUAUCAGCAUCUGAACCAUCAGGUAACAUUAAACUCCAAACACACAAACACACUUUUACAUGUUACAAAAAAAUUGUCGCCAACAGAGCCCAAAAAUGUAGAUUUGAAGCACCGUUUAUGCCAUGUCGUGUAACUACUAUAUUAACGCCAAUGCAAAAAGAAAAUGAGAAUUUCAGAGAUUACAAAACUCAUUAUAACUUAAUUAGAACUAAGUUAGAAAAUAAUGAUUAUAAUGAUAUUGAUGAUUUUUACGAAUAAAACAAUGUUUUAUCAGAUGAACAUUACUGCAAUAUUCUUCGGGCUGGAAUUACGAGACCGAGGGUUUUCCCCAAGUGCUUACAAUCCGAAAAAUGGCAUAAUUCUUUUAAUCCAUUUGUGUUCAGCGUCUUGAAAUCGAAUAUGGAUUUUCAAAUCAUCACGGAAGAAUAUUCAUGUGCUGCUUAUGUUGUUGAAUAUGUAAAUAAAACAAAUAGAGGCAUAAGUAAUUUGCAACGAAAUAUAAUACAAGUCAUGGAUGAACACCCAGAAUUUGACAUUGUUGAAAUAACAAGAAAACUGAGCGUUGAUAUGCUUAAUUCAGUAGAAAUGUCAAGCCAAGAAGCUGCUUGGUAUAUGCUGCGUGAGCCAAUGUUCAAGUCUUCGGUCAACAUGGAUUUACGUCUAGCAACUCUCAACAAACUUGGCCCUAUAGCUAAAAAAAAGAAAAUUUAAUGAAUCUCAAACAAUUUUGUGAAUUGAUGAGAAUGGCUAACGAUAAACAAAAGGAAAUUUUAUUAUAUGUUAUCUCACAUCUUCUCUCUUCAAAUUCGUUCCCGCUUCAAAUAUUCUUUACUGGUUCAGCUGGUUAUGGUAAGACUUUUGUAAUAAAACUUAUUAUGGAAAUUUACAAUAGAUUUACCGACACUGAUAGAUACUGUAAUGCAUUUAUUACUUGUGCAUCAACCGGAAUAGCAGCUGUUGCAAUUGAUGGCACAACAGUGCAUACAGCUCUUAAAAUAUCACUGUCAAAGUUACUGCCACUAUCUAAUGAAAUGGCACAGCUUUACAGAGCAUUAUUUAAAUUCGUUAAGGUUAUAAUUAUUGAUGAAAUUAGCAUGAUAGGUGCAGAGCUGUUAUCACAAAUUGAUUCUAGAUUAAAGCAGAUUACUGGAAAUUUUGAAAAUAAUUUCGGUGGUUUAGAUAUGAUUUUAAUUGGAGAUUUGCGACAAUUACCACCUGUUCUGGCAACUCCAAUCUAUAAGUCACAGACAACGGAUGGUUGGCCCAAUUUUGUGGCGAGGAUUAAAAUUUUAUGAACUGACACAAGUCAUGCGACAAGCAAAUGCAAUGUUUUCUUUAUUGCUAACUAAGGUCGGAAAUGGCAUUCAGCUAGACGAUCUUGAACUCGCUCUUGUAGAAGCAAGAUUUUACACAAAAAAUGAUAGUAAUCAAUUAUGCCCAGACAGGAUACGCUUAUUCCUUACCAAUCACUCGGUUAAUGAGUACAAUAACUCGAUUUUACAGAGCGCAGAAAACAAAACUAUUUCUAUUGCAAGAGAUAUUAUUACGGGUGUCAAAGUAAGGAACAAUAAACUUUCGUAACACAAAAGCUGCACAAAAUGUCUGUCAUUGAUACUGGCAGUUUACCGUAUGAAAUUAUAUUCGUGUUAAAUAAAUCUUAUAUAAUUACAACUAAUAUCGAUGUAUCAGAUGGUUUAGCAAACGGUGCAGUUGGAGAAUUGGUACACCUUGAAUUUGAUGACAAUGAUGAGGUCAAGGGAGUUUGGCUACAAUUUCUAGACCGAAGAACAAGUAGCAUUCCUCUCAAUAACAAUAAAACUAUCCUAGCCAAAAGAAAUCAUUUUCCAUUAAUUCCAGCGUUAGCUAUGACAAUCCAUAAAUCACAAGGAGGUACUUUUAAUCAAGUUGUUUACGAAUACGAAAGGAAACAUUCUCAACAGUUAGUAUAUGUUGCUCUAUCCCGUGUUACGAGCAUAGAAGAACUUUACAUUACUACGUUCAAAGAUGAUGCAAGCAAAUUCAUAUUUUAUCAUGGUCGACAAAAUGAUGUACAUAGUGUCUCUUUACAAGAUGAAUUCCGUAGAUUAUCUCUCAACAAAUUACAAACAACAGCAGAAAUGAUUACAGAUUUCAUUAUAACUAAAAAAGGAUUAUCAUUUGUUACUUUUAUUUGCCAAGUCUUCAAUCUCAUGCGCUAAAUCUUACUGAUUCCGUCAUUAGAAAUAGUAAUAUAUUACAUUUAACCGAAACUUGGAUGAGCGAUCAAGAAGACAUCAUCGAUGUACCUGUAUUCAAUUGUAUAGCACGUUUCCAUCGGGCAAAUAAAAGAGCAGGAGGAGUAGCUAUUUUUCAAAAUAAACGUGACACUGCCAAUAUCGUCACUAAACAUAUAUCAUUGCAAAUUAGAAGACCUAUAAAUUUAGAUGUUCAGACGUCAGAAAUAGCUGAAAUAUGUUCUGCUCACUGCGUUUUAGAAGACGGUCAAAUAUGUAUCAUGGCUGCGAUUUAAAUUUCACCCAAUCAAAGCAUUACAGACAUAAUUCAAUUUAUCCAUAGAUCACUACUUGUAUACACUCAAGUAGGAUCACGGGAGCUUGAUACAAAUGACCAUCAAAUGCCACUGAUUUUAGCAGGAGAUUUUAAUGUUAACUUUGCUGACAAAAGUGCACAACCAUUAAUUACAUUCCUCAAAGAUAAAUUUCAAUUAGACAUGAAUAAUGAUGCGCAACAAUCAACUACUAAGUAUGGCACAACAUUAGAUGCAGUACUUUCAAGAUUUUUAUAUAAAAUCGAUUCUAAAACAUUUAUAUCAUACUUUAGUUACCACAAACCAAUUGUUUCUUUUAUUGAAUUAAAAAAUGAAGAUA